UGUGGGGACGGAGGAUGUUGGUUUGUUAUCUUGGGUUUGACAGCUCAAAGGCGGAGAUAUUUCCUGCUUAAAAGACUCCCUGAAGAAGGAGGAGGAGGAGAAUCAGCAUUGUGGGCUGCAACAACCGUCUUCCUUUUCCUCCAACCCUUUGGGUCAAGGGUCCUCACCCCUGGCUGCUAGUUGGAAUCGCCUGGGAAGCUCUGAAAUAUCCAGAGGUCCAGGCCCCAACCCAGACCACUUCCAUCUGAGCCUAGGAGAGGGGUGGGGUGGAGGACUACGGGGCAUCGGCAUUUUUUUUCAUGCUCCCCCAAGCGAUUCCAGCGUGCAGGCAAGUUGGAGAAAUCGUGCUUUUGCAUCAGCCCUCGGCUCCAACGCUGAAGUCGAUUUGGGGAGCAGCAACUCUUUUCUCCGCCUAGGACUGGCUGCUGGGGGAUUCGGGCAGGCUCUCCGGAGGAACCAGCCAGUGGAGGACGUUUGCUUGCGAGCGAUCUGGCGUCCGGCUUACCCCGAGGCCCAGCUUGGAGCCGGCGGGUCUCCGGGUCCCCGCAGGCAACCACACGUGCGGCCGCUCCGACCUGUCUGGUUAUCUACCGAGAUCGCCAGCCGACCUCGGCGGCCGCCGCGCGGCCCACCCCGACCACAGAGCUGUGCGCUGAGGAAGGGUUAUUUAACUCUGGCCCUCGCGGAUCAGCCGCACAGCCCCUGCUCACCGCGGGACCUCCCAGGGCACUCGCCCUCUGCGCCCGACUGAGAUGGGUUGCCACUCCAGCAAGAGCACCGAGGUGGCGGGGGAGCCCCAGAAACCUGCAGAGCAGCCCAAGGGAGAGGAGCCAAAUCUGGGGGCUGUCCCAGAGGCCGCGGACGGUAGAGACACCUCCUUGAAGGAUGGCGCCCCGGAGCAGAAGAACUGAGAUGCUUCGCUCUGGAUUCGCGGGCCCUCACCUCAUUCCGGGAACUGCCUUUGGCCAGUGAAACUCGAGAGGAGCCCUGUCCUGAGAAGCUCCAAGGAGAAGGAGGAGAGGGAAAUCCCCGCCUUCGGGAUGCGGGCUUCAGAAGUCAGCUUCACCUGGCUUUGCUCUGGAGCUGUGAGGGGUCGCGGCCCUGGUAGCCCUAUUUCCCCAGCUCCCCAACAGACAGAGAGGAAGAAAAACGCCUUCUCACAUGAUGGGACUUUCCCCUGAGCCCCCUGGCUGACUGCUCUGGCGCUGGUCCAUCUCUGCUGCUGAGAUGUGAUGGUCCUGUGACCCCCAGUCUUCCACCUGCCUCACUUUCCUGAACUCUGAAAGCUCUCGGGCCACAGUGUUGAUGGGGAUGUGUGGCUCUCAGUUCCUUGUUUUGUCUUGUUUUAUCCCUCCCUCUCCUUUUUCUAAUAGCUGGCUGAACAGCCAGUGCCCCUCACAGGAAGUUUUGGGGUUUGGCUCAGUCCACACUGUUUGAGCACUUCAGUAUUUAACUUGGAGAAUUGUAAAUGAGUUAUGGGAACAAUCAGAAUCAGACUGUGAUCAUGGCAAUGGAAGACAACAAGGCCUUGAUCAUCCAGUAAGUGGAACACUGAGUACUGGUGGGAAGGAAGGAGGAGGGUUUCACGUUCCUGGUGUUUUAAUCCCCAGAAAAAUGCCCCUCUGCUGAUGUUCCUGUGUCUCUUCCCAUCAAGAGUGUCAAUUUGAACUCUCGAGCGUCUGAGCUCUCUGUAUCCAGACUUCGGAAAUAUUUCGCUGUUUAUUCACGUGUCUGUCAGUCUCUUUUUCCCCUCCUUGCAUGUGUUUUGCUUUCUAAUGUGACUCAGAAGCAUUUUAAUUGGAAAUCAAACAGACAUGUUUGCAAAUAAAUGAUGACACAACACGUUUGAAAGACAGGACUGGGGAGCUGAGAUUAGAGGAUCAGCG
rnacentral:lncRNA from 1 species